rnacentral:lncRNA from 1 species
CGGCGGAGCGGGCUGCGCUCCCCGCGGCUGCGGCGGGGCUUCACCCCGCUUCGUGCGGCCCCAGCGCCCGCCCCAGGGGCCGCGCCCGGCACCUCCUCGGCGGGGCUGCUGUCCCCGGGACGCCGUGACGGCUGUGCGCUCCCCGCCCUUCUCACCGCCCCUCUCCCCUUUCCUCCUCCUCCUCUUCCUCCUCCUCCUUCGGGAGCCUUGCCUCCCCUGCACACCUGCCUUGCCAUUUGUCGGCGGCUUUGCUAGGAGGGAAGAAUUUUCCCUCGGUCCCUUACAGCAUCCCUCCCCGGCACACACACACACACACACACACACACAUACACGCACGCUCACACAGCCGGACGGGCAGAGGCACCGCGCUGCCCGUGCCUCGCUGGCCGCCGCCUCUCCGCACCUCGGCCCCGCGCUCCUCGCCGCCGCGGGGCGUCCUCCGCCUGCUGCAGCGCCGCCGGGCCCGGCAGCCGCCGAAGGGGGGUGGCGGCGGCGGCUCCCGCUGCUCCGCGGCCCCGCACCGGCAGCGGUAGGUACGGCGGUCCCGCGGCGGCAGCCCGCCCCGGGCGGCUCCUGGCGCUGCAGAGGGACGGGGAAGGAGGGAGGGGAGGGCGGCGGGAGCAGGGCGAGACGCGCUGCCCCAGCCCCGCCUGCGGCGCCCGCCUCGCUCGGCUCCGGCUCCUGCUCCGGCUGCGCUCCCGCGGGGCCGCGCGCCGCCCCCGCCGCUGCCCGGCGCCCCCCGGGCACUGGCUCUUCCCAAUCUUGGAUUCUGAACUUGAAGCAAUUCUUCAAGACUAUAUGCUUCCUGAAACUCAAAAACUAUCUGCAAUAA